rnacentral:rRNA from 1 species
AUACGUAGGGGGCGAGCGUUAUCCGGAAUUAUUGGGCGUAGAGAGUACGUAGGAGGUUUUGUAAGCGCAAGGUGAAAGACCGCAGCUUAACUGCGGUGAGCCUUGUGAACUGCAAGACUUGAGUGCAGGAGGGGAAAGUGGAAUUCCUAGUGUAGCGGUGAAAUGCUUAGAUAUGACGAAGAACACCGAUUGCGUAGGCAGCUGACCAGACCGCAAAUGACGCUCAUGCACGAAAGUGCGGGGAUCGAACAGGAUUAGAUACCCUGGUAGUCCGCACAGUAAACGAUGGAUACUUGUUUUCGGCGAUAUAAUGUCGGAGGCAAAGCGAAAGCGAUAAGUAUUCCACCCGGGGAGUACGCCGGCAACGGUGAAACUCAAAGGAAUUGGCGGGG